CAUCAAAGGAGAAAAUAGUUAAUAUGUCCAGACAUAGUUUUAUUAUUAAAUGUUCAAAAAGCCUUUCCAGAAGGGGAGGUAGGAUAUUACUCUUUGCACAAGAGUGCUGCCAUUGAUUAUCACUAAGAUCAUCAUGGGAAAAAUUGAACGCUGGUGUAUUGUAGUAGCUUAUGGCAACAUAGGAGAUCUUGGAUGCCAAACCACAUAAAACAAAAGUACUUUUCAUCUUUAAAAUCCAUGGAUCCUGUUGCAAAGGUUCUGGCUUUACUUAGCAACUCACAGCUCAAGCAGACCUUUAAUCAUGGUUUGCUCAUGUAAAAGUUCAUGGGACAUUCUUACAGAGGGGAUAUGGUACUAGGUAGUUAUUGGUUUACUUUUUGGUUAAUUCUGUCUCCAGUUCUUCUGCUGGACUGUACAUGUGAAAUCAUACUUCUUGAUUCUGAAUCUCUUUGAUGACUGUUGCCUCCUCCUUCCCACAGCAUCAGAAGUACUUACAUAAAGGUUCAGAUCUUCGCAGUAUCUAUUUGACAAAUGCAGUUUGGUAGAACUUCUUUCACAUUCUGUCGUGGGAGGGUUACAGAACCUGUUUGGCCAUUUAUAUAUUGACAGAGCACUUGUGCCAUUUGGACCCAGAGAGCAGACUGAUCUCAGUGAAAAGAAAAGCCUGCUCAAAUUCCCAAAAGCCUUGCCUAAUGUACUUGUGUAUCAUCUUACUGGCGGUUGCCUUUUUCUGGCAGAAGUCCAAAGUUAGCAGCUGAAGAAGAGAUGAGAUAAUGACCUCUGAAAUAUUGAUGUGGUAUGCUGGCGACGCAGCAGAUUUCCCAACAGUGAGCUUGGGUGUACGGCGCUUAAAGUCUGCUGUUCCUUUUGUACAGCAGAUCCAGUGCAUAGCCUUUCUUGGAGUGUACCAUGGCAUACUUGUAGCCGAUGUGUCAAAACCAAAAUGUUGUGCUGCUUUACCUUUUUACAGUGAAUUAUUGCUAUGGUGGAACAUGUGACAAGGGGAGGAAUGAUGCCAUAGCUUUUCAAUAUGGUAGAUGUGCAUUGUGCACUCUAUUUCCAUUCCCCUUUCCUUCUUGCACUGCUUGAGCAGUGACUGCCUGUAUGCUUGCUGCCUUAUUUCUGAGUCCUAGCCAACUUUGAUCUCUCCAUGAACACUGUAGCUAUGUUUUCAUUUCUUCCUUCCCAUCCAGUGAGGUAAUUGCAUUGUCAAUGCUUCUUUGGGAUUGAGAAAAUAAUGCAUCUUUACUGAGUGCUUUGGUAUAAAGGUAGAAUCAAAAGUCUUUAACUGCAGUACACCCUAUGGCCUGGAAAUUAGAAUUUCUAUAAUGAUAAGGUCAAGGGAGAAUAAAUUGAGAUCUAAAAUGUCUUUAUUAUCUACUGAACAGUUGGAGGCAACAAGUGCUACAAUAGACAGAUCUCAUGAUAAGUAUAUCCACUGCCUAACCUGGGGCUGAGCUCUUGUCACUGAUGAGUAGAGGAACUGCAAUAUGUUUGCAGUAUUUGUACGGUCCCAAGACCAUACACUGGGAGUUUCCAGUAGGAAAAGGGAUACCUUUCUUGUACCAAAAUUGCAGUCAAAGCACAGGUAAAUGAAAGGUAAAAAUCAAAACCUGCUACCUGAAAGUACUUACCGGCUGGUGCUGCUAAGAGAAUGAUGGUAUAUGAUAUGUGCACACUGUUACAAAGAGAACAAUUCUAGCCUAGACUUGGGGCUGCUGGGAGAAAACAGCAAAUAUAUGUGAGAGGUAAGUGAACCCUUCAGUUUCUUAAAAAAAGAAAAAGAAAUUAGUUUGCUGGAGGUCUUUGUACUUUCCCCAGUUUAGUCCAAAGCAUGUUUGUGUAAUUUGAUGCUUUGACUUGUGACUUGCCUUUCAGAUUAAGCAACGUUUUGGGGGGGGACACGAGGGGCAUGAGGGUUUUUUGGGGAGGUAGCAGUAGGGGGGAUGACUGGCUUCUUAGUGACACACAGCCUAUAAAUCCAUCCUGCUGGCAGGCAAAUGAGCCACUCGGUUUACUGGUGUGCACUUCGUCAAAUCCACUCAUUCCUUGCUUCAUAUCCUGUAUCAAUUACUCUGUUCUGUGUGGCUCCCCUGUCUCAUUUUCACUCCGUUGGUCACCUGCCCAAAUUCUCUUGAUGCAGGGGGGAUGGGAACAGGCAGAGAAGGAAAGAUAGGAGGAUUCUCAUUACAAAUCUGGAUUUCAGACAACACAUUUAAUCCUUAAAGCAAAACUGCUCCAGUGACAGUUAAAAUGUUCAGUCUCCCCAGUCUAUUCCCUGAAAUGGUAUUGUUUAUUACAAUCCCUUAACAUUAUGUCAUGAGCUUGCAAAUACAUGAGCAUGCCAUAUGAUCAUCCUCCUGAAAGGAAUAGCAAAGGCAGCAAGGGACUAAUGCUGUCUUACAGGUUUCUGUUUCAGCAAGGGCUGUAGCUAUCGCUGUCAGUGAUGUCAAGGUUAUCCUGGAAUGUGUGCCCAGUGAUGUAUUUCUUGCUACUUGCCUCACUGCUGAGGCAGCAAUUCAGUCAACACCAUGCAGAGGUAAUUGGAAGCUUUGCCUCACUCCCAGUGGAGAAAGCAGUGGCCCUGUGUUUAUCAUGGGAGCUUUCUGUGUGUACAUAGCUCCACACAACUGGGCCAGAUCUCAGAUUAUGGGGUAGGGGGGCUUUGGUGGCUGUACUAGCACAAAUGAGAGACUUUGUUCAAAGAAACCAAAUAACAUGAGCAUCUGGUAAAGGCAGCAUCUAGAUAAUAUACAUUAAACAAUUGUUGUGUUAUGCACAAGCAAAGUGCCCAAUGCCAAAUAAUCUUCACAGGAAAGCACAGUCUUCCAAGUCAUUUGAGAAGUGUGAAUCAAACAGUGGCCCAAACUCAGCUGAGAGCUCCGUAGAGGGGCUGUGUUCCAGCUGUCAGUGCUUGUGGUCAUCUUUACCUGGACUGUUCAACUAAAUAAAACUUAGAAUUAGUCUAAAGAAAAAAUGGUCCUCUGUGAAGGCUGCUAGAUUUAUUUACCUGGGCUUUACAUGGAAGUCUACCAUGUUGCACUCUCUUGAACUGUAUCUAUUCCUUCCACUUCUCAAAAUAAGUCAGCUAGAUUCAAGUUUCCCUACUUCCCAGGAAAGUUAUUACUGAUGAAAUUUCUUACAAAUUUCAAAACUGCCUGCUUCAUUGAAUUUUCACUCCUCCUUGACAUUUUUCUAACUGCUCAAUUCUUCAUAUCUUAGACAGGUAGUGACAAAUUUAUAUUGACUGGUAGCUUUAGCCAUGAGAUAGAGUUUCAGACAAGUCUCCAAAGACUCACAAUUUAAACAAACAGUAAAAGAAAGCAUGCAGAAUCAAUUAUCAAUCUUUUGAUUUCCUUAGCAUCCCUCAUGCUUAGGAUGUAAUGUUUUGCAACAACCUUUUAAAACUGAGGCAGUCUCAGGCCAACCCACCUUGGUGUUUAGGAGGAAAAGCUCUGCCAAAGCUGGUGAAUGCUCUGUGAGCGCCAACACAUAGGUUCAUGUGAAGGCCUUCCAGUGUUGUCUGGCUGCUGUCCUGAACAGCUCCUGUUUUGUGACUCAUCAGGAAAUUUGGAUGUUCAUCAGCCUCACCUCUCCCUGGUGACUCAAAUAAAGCUGGCCAGGAAAGUAGCAAUGACGAUUCUGAGAGUGGAUGUGCAUCAAGGAUAUUCAAGCCUGGAGGAGGCCAGAAAUCUGGGGAGGUCAGUGGUCUAUUUCUCCUCCCAGAAGUGGAAACAAAGUUUCUGUGCUUGUGCUGGAAGCCCUAAUGAUGGGGGAAAUGGAGGCUGGAAAUUCCUGAGAGAUGUUUUCAAAACCUCCAGGGAAUUAAGAGAAAAAAAUUAUUCCUUCUGUGGGCUUUCUCACCUGCCUGGGCAACAACAAUGGGCAAGAUUUUUAACCUGUGCUUUUAACCAAAAAAUUUAAGCCUAUAAUCUGUCAGGAAGAUUUCCUUAUCUGAGUCUCAAUUUUUAAAGAAUAUAUCCAGAAUUUGCCUAGUUUUAAUUUUAUCAGUUUUAUCAACUUCUAAAAUGGCCAUAGACAGAUUGAUGCAAACUGUCACAAGAAUUCAUCUUUCUUUUUCAGUGGCUUUAUCUGAAGUGGCUUUAACCAAAGAUAAUUAUACACAGGAAGAAGUAUUUCUACUGAAAGGAUCGCUUUGUCACCCCCUUAAGCCUUUCUUGUGAAAGUAGCUCUUGAACACAUGUGGCAAUCAUACAGGUUUCAUGAAAUUGACACAGAGAUUAGUAUUCAUGAUCUGUCUUUCAGCUCCUAAAUAAAAUCCUGUGUAAGUAAGGUGUGAGACCAACCAGACUAAAACCAAAGUAUCUUGCAAGUGGAGCAUGACACUUGCCCUGGAACUGAAGGCUGAAUGAAGAAUGAAUCUCUCCCAGGGUAGGCUAGAAUAAUAUCCCCAUCUCCUCAUUCAGAUUUUAAGAUCAGUACUCACUCACAUUUCAUAAUUUGGAAAUAUCAGCACUUUAAAAAUUCAUGUUAAAUAUGCUUCCAGGGGAAUAUUACAGUGGUAGAAGAUGAACUAUUUUAGCACGGCAAAUGGAUAGUGGUAGUCAGAACACUGAGGAAAUGCUGUUUUACUCCAACAGUAAUUGUGGAAGCUGAGCCACACUUCUGGCUCCCAUGUCCAACUGUGGCUGUUGUCCUUGCACAUUUGUGUCUGAGGCCAGUCUAACACAGAGGUGCUGAGCUCUAUUUAAUGUUCCUGGACUUAGUGCUCCCAGGAAUUAGACCUCCUAUUCUUACAGUCUCCAAUUCCGGCAUGCUGGCAGAGUUGGCUUGUUUAGUCCCUGACUUUAGAAAGAGCAAGUUGUCAACAUUCUUCAAAGGCUGGAUGAAGAGGAUUGGUGCUCCCCCUGCCCAUUCCUUUCUGUGUAUUCCCAAGAGGAAUGUCUGCCUGAGAACUGGAAAAAACUGCUACUCUGAUGUGUGAGAUAUCUGUUUGUUUGUUUUUGUCUGUCCUGUUGUCCUCGGUGCAAGUCUUGGGCUUAACUCAGGAUAUUGUGUCCAGUCAGGCAGUCUGGGAAAAGCUGGCAGUUGUGUCUGGGGGCAGGGGUGGGGGAGAAAGAAAGUGUUAUUUUUGCAGAGCUGUAAAUCCAGCACCUUUUGCCAGUGCUGCAUCUUUUUUUUUUUUUAUUGCUUGUUUCUAAGAAGGUAUUGCUGGAACAGCACCGGCUGCAAACAAAAUCUUGUUUGCUCAAAGUUCACAACAGGACAGGUCAUGCAUUUUGAACAUUUGUGGGACACUCGUAAAGGAAACACAGAGCGCGCUUUCCAAAAGCUUCAGCUUGAAAUGCAACAGUUUCCUUACUGCCUGGAGCUUCAAUGUCAAAGAGAUUUCUAUUUUUAGACAGAGAUUCUACUCAAAGAACUAUAUAAGGCUGUGCUGGGGAGACCAUUACCUUUUUAUUAUAGAUGAGAGUAUUUGUUACUCAGCUGGGAAGAAAAAUUUUGUAUAAAAGUGAAAACCACAAAGAUACUCUCAUCUGGUUGUCUUUUGUGGGUGAGAAGGAACAGAGAUGAAAACUGAAGACUCAAUAUUUCUUUUUCAAUAUUCUAAUUUCUCUCAACUUCUUAAAACAAGUGCUUUAGCCAUUUAAAAUGUCAGGCAAGGCUCUUGAUCUGAAGCGAUGAUGCAAGAGGGAAGAGAUAACUCCAAGUAGAGUUUGAUGCCAAAGGACAUCUUGCUAUGCUAACAUGUGACAACACAAGGGAAAACACCACAAAUAAUCAAUGUUUUAUUCAUGGGGAAACUAAGUAAAACUUGAUGUUACAGAACCUUUACAGGUACAUAUUUAUUAGUUAUCCUGAGUACAAAGUGGACCUAAACUGAAUGGGGGCUGCAGCAAAACCAUCAGACACAGUGGUCAGGUGGGCUCAGAAUAAUUGUCACAGCUAAUGGCAGGAAAAUGGAAGAGUAUUUGAAGUUCUGGUUUUGCUGGGGAGCCUUCUUCUGAAGCUUGAUUUUCAGUCACAUAGAAUCAUCCAGGAAACACCUAACUCUGUUACCCUUAAUCUCUGGGUUUGUAUUAAUAGAGAGGAAAAAGAUCUGUACAGAAUUGAACAAACUUGUGUUCUCAAGUAAUGUUCUCACUGUGAUUUCUCCCGCAGUUUGGAGAGGAGCUGUUGGGUUUCUGGUCUGGUUGGACUUUCAGAGCAGUCCAGGUGACACUGGCUUUAGCAGCUGUUGCCAAUAUUAGCACAGCAGCUGGAGCCAAUUUGGUUUUGGUUGAGUAAGGACUAAAUGAGGUAACAGAACUAAAUUAAGGACACUGGGUCCACUUCUUCUGUAGUCCAACACAGCUCCUGUGAUGAAUUCUGAGUUAGGGAUGGGACUGAAAUGAUGCUGGUCUUAACUUACCCAGAGUUUCUGUUUCUAUAUUGUCUGGCUAGCUGUGACAUAACCUCUUUGGCUUCAGGGGAAUAAAAUGGGGAACAGCUACACUGAAUGAGAGGUGAAGAAACAGCAGCUGAAGGUAAUGUGUGCAUUACUGUAACAAAAGGAAAAACAGUGCUCUUGAGUUGUGCAGAGUAACACAGGGUAGACUAGUCAGUGGCAAAGCUGGAGCAUAGGCACCAAUGGCUGAACAGCUUGAACGAGGGAGAUUCUUUCAUCCACUCAGUGUACUGAGCCAGAAAUAGCGGGAGAAAUAACAUCUCUAUUUUGACUUUUUGUUUUUUAAUUCAAAAGAAAUAAAUAAAAUAAAUUUAGAAGCACACGACACACUGAUCCUGGCUUACAGUAUGAGAAGCAGUUCAAGUAUGUCGGGGCCCACGGGUACCUUUGCAGAGUUAUUGGUGAAAUCAGCGUUAGUUACUGACAGCGGUGCGGGUCUGGGGCAGGGGCGGAUCACCGGGCCCCGGCAGCGCCGCAGUUUGGGGCUGCGCCUGAGGGACCGAGCCGCGGCCUGGGCCGGGCCGGAGCGGCCCCGCUUCCCGCGCUUCCCGCGGUCUCGCACUUCCCCCUGGCGGCCGGCGCUGAGGGCCUACCCGCCGUCAGGGCGUUGCAGGAAUGGCGAGGCGUCAUGCCCGAAAAACCUGAGGAACGCGGCCCUAGCUCUGUUACACCGCUCUGCUAAAGGCCUUAUGCGUUCUCCAGGAGGGGGUCCACACAAAGCAGCCCCUCACGCGUACAGGAGUCGGAAGUGUCUCUUCCCUCUGAGGUGCCUCUGUCCCUCCCCUGAGGAAGCCCCCUCAGAAAUGUGUCCAUGGCUGUCCCCUCGUCCUUCCCCGUGUGCCCGCUGUGCCGGCGAACCCUGCCGCAAAGGCGCGUUCCUCACUCGAUCCCCUUGGCAGCUGUCUCCAGGCAGGAAUCCCGGGCUGUCUUUCCACAGUUCCUGGACAGUUUCCUUCUGGGAUUAAACAAAUCCCCACACUGUUUCCCGAACGAGCAACUGGCUGAAGGUUCGGUAAUUAAUUCUGACUUUUGCUUGCUGUGCAUUCAAAUGGCAAUGAACGUUUUCCUUCUCAUUUUUAAUAACUGACGCAGAGAUUUUCUGAUAUUGACAAGCCAUUUCUUAAAACGUUGUACAUCUGGUCAGUCAUUUGUCCUAAUGUAUUCUCAAUUAAUUUCUUCAGUGUGGUUUCCACUGAAAUUUUUAUGCUUCACUUGUAAGAUAUUGUUCUGCUCUGGAAUUUGUUUUUAUUUUGUUAGCUACUGUCCGUGGGGAGAUCAGAACUGCUAGUUGCUAAAUAACUAAAAGCUUCCAUUUGGUCAGCACUACCUUUUUCAUAAUGACAUAAGUCUAUUACACAGUGUUUCCAUUUGUAAAAUAUAAGUACAAAUAUGUUAAUAUACAAAUGCCUAUUCCAAGAUGAUAAUAAAGGGCUAUAAGCUCCAAGGCACUUUUGGACCUGAGAAAAAGAAGUAUUAACUGAGGCAAGAUCUCUUUUUUGUUUGAUUACAGCAAGGUAUAUCAUCCUGCAUCACCUGAGCUUUUCCCACUACAUUGGUUGGAUAUGUCAAAGAAAAAGCUCUAAAGUCCUGAAAACCAGGGAGACACCACAUCACACCUGAAAUUUUAAUCAUCUCAAAUGGUUAGUAUAAGGAUCCCUAUUUGAUCAUUUAAAUUGGUUUAUGUUUAUAUUUAUAUUUCAGUUGCAAACUGUUUUUAAAAUAUGAACUUCAAGAUUUUGGUGCCAGUAUAAACUCAAUCUGCAAUUUUUUCUGAAGCUUUGUUCCAAUGUCUGUCUCACAUGCCCCUCUAGAUAAGCACACUUCUGUUUUCUGGGCACAGUAGUCUGCAGUCAUGUAAGACAGUAACAUAUUCUGCAUGUUAAAAAGGCUCUAAAUGAUAUAGUAAGCCCAAGCACUUCUUUAACAAAAGAAGCAGCAUUUUCUUACUGAAAUGCUGCUGGAGGAAACAAAUAGGAUUAAGCAACACCAUUGUGUUGUAAACAAAUACCAUCAGUCUGUAAGUCAUGAUCAUACAAUUAUUUCCUCAGGCCUCCUCUUAUUAGCUAAAGGUUAACUCAGCAGCACAAAAUGCACAAUGCUACAAAAACCAGCUGCACUGUGUGUGUGUUUGUACAAGUCUGAAUAUAGUUAAGGAUUAAGAUUUGUUUGAGAAACCACCAAUUUCCAAAAUAUUUGUAAACAUCUUACUACUCCUGGAGUCCUUUUGUGUAGCUGUUUUGAAACAUAUUUGCUGUGAUGCUUGUUCUGAGUGUCCAAGAAAGAAGUAAACAAAUUGGGUAAAAUAAAUGAAAUUGAGGAGAAACACUAAAUAGUUCUUUUUCUGUUGGAUACUUUUAAGUAUUGUCUGAUUGUACAUGACCAUAAUUGCUUGUCAUUAGAACUGAAUAUUUAAUCACAUAUAAAGAACACCAGGCAAAUGUGGGUUGGGUUUUUUUUUGCCUUUUACCCCACUAUCCUUGCUUUCUUUUGAAAUGGAAAUUUAUGGAAUUAUCAUAAAACAUGAAUAUAAAAACAUAACUGACACUAUUAAAACCAUACUUUGAGGAAUUUAGCUGCUAAUUUAUCUUUAGAAAGUUCUGGAUUUAUAUGAAUGUUGAUCACCACCAGAGGGCCCCAAUCUCUUUUAGAACGAGCCAGAUUAUGUAUUAAAACAGGGUAGUGAAAUUUGGUCCGUUUCGAUAAUUACUGGUUUUUUGGGUUUUUUUUUGCUCCUGCUGCUAAGGUGCACGCACACAUGCUGUGCCCUUUGUACAAUGCAAUAUAAUGUAGCUUUACUUUAAUGAGAUAAUUAGAAAGACCUUCACGCUAAUUGAGUCCUAUUUUAGUGGAAAGCUUUGCCACCGGUGCAAAGUUUAAUUGUGCUUGUCAGGUGAGGCUGCUAUUUUCUGGUUAGAGGUUUCCCGAGUCAGCUGGCGUUACAGCUGAAGUUAAUCUCUUCCCUGACUGCUCUGUGCUUGUCUCAAACACCAGAGGGCAGAAAAUCCCCACGUAAGGAAAAUGAAAAUGUCUCCUCAUAGAAAAAUGAUCAUUCCCUUUCCAUACAAUCCCACUUCCUAGUCAUUCCCUAUCAGAAAUGGCUACUGUAGGGCGUACCCAAAGUAAAUUACAAUAAAUUACGUGCCUAGGUAUCAUGAUGUGUUGUUGGGGUUUUGUUUUGUUUUGUUUUGUUUUUUACUUAAUAGUCAUAAUUCAAUUCAAUAAACAAUUCAAUAAACUAUGAUUUUGUAAGUAACUGUAACUUGCAGGCCAGAGUACUGUUUGCUACGUUGCAUAUGUUGUUAUCUUGAUAUAUUGUAAAACGGAGCAGAGAAAUAAGGACAAGGGAAAAAGAUAAGGAGGUAAGGUCAAAAUUAAGGCUCAGAAAAAGGAGUACUACAACCACAAAAAAACAUUAGCUGCAGCUACAGUAGGGGUGGCUUUUUUGUAAUUUUCCAUGUCUGAAUGUUUUUUGACAGAAGUGAAAUAUGAACACUUAGAUCUGUUCAGAUAGGCUGAGGAUGAUAAAAAAAACCACAAACCACCAAAACACAAUCAAUCAAAAAACCCAGAAAGCUUGGGACUUUCCUUCAUUAAAACUCUUUGCUCCUCAAAGCUAUUGACUUUAAAACUCAGCUUUGCAAAGAGGAAUAAUUUGAUAUGAAAUGUUUGAGCAGCUCUUUAUUAAAAGACAUAAUUUUUGAUGGGGGUAAGCACAUUCAUAUUGCACAUUCAAAGUAUUGCAAAUUCUUCAGUACCAUUUUCACAUUACUUAAUCUAUUUUUACUAUUACUUAAUCUAUUUUUUUAUAAUCUUCAGAUUAACAGUAAGAAUCACAAGUUUGAUCUAGCUGAGAUAGGGACAUUUUAUCUUUUUUUUCUUUUUUAAUCCUCACUAAGACCAUUCUGAUAGAACAUUUCUUGUGCUUCUCUGUCUUCUCAUGUGUUAUUUGAUGUGAGAACAUGAGGCUGUCCACCCAAUCUGUCUAUGCAGGAAAGUAUCCCCAUGGGAUUGAAAAUUGGCUGUUAUCAUUAAUGACAGAUCUCCCGCGAGUUUCUGUAUUUCCUUACACAAAGCACACCACAAUUCAUUGGCAGAAGAUUCUAUCUUAGAUUGAAAAACUAUUAAUGUUGUACUCUGAGACACCAGGGAAGACAUUUCCUUACAAGCCUUUGAAGGCAUUUAUCAUUAUUGUCUGACUUUGCAGGGUUAGAUCCUUUGGAAAAUGUUGUUUGUUUUGUUGGUUUGGUUUUUUUUGUUGUUGUUGUUUUUUUAAGUAACAUUCUACAUCCUACAUCUACAUUCUACAUCUACAUAAGCAGUGUUAUAUACUUAUGUAAAGAUUGCCCUUUUAUUACCACUUUUCAUUAAUCCCUCACUGAAGCAAGAGUGUACACAUAUAAUUGACUAAUGAGAGCCCACAAGGUGUGAUUGUUGGCAUUGUAAAAGAGCCACAUUCAAAAUGAUCUGGAAAGACAAAAAGUGGAUUUUUAUAAUUUGUUAGAGUAACACAAACUGUUUCACUUGGAAAAUGGAAUUUAUAAAUCAAGAAGUGUCUUGUGGAUACCAGUUCAGCCACAGAGGUUCUGGACAGUGCUUAGUGUGGUUCUCACCCGAGGAAGGGAAGACUGGGGCAGGAGGUAGGUGGUAGGGUUUUAUGUUGUCUGUUGGGUUCUUUCCUUAGGAAAGGAGUGAAACAUGAUCCUGGGCUAUAUUAAUAGGGUAGCUCAAUCUGCAGAACGUGAGAGGUAAUUAUUUAUCUUUACUUGGUGCUGUGAGUACCCUGUCGAGUUCAGAAAGAUGUGGGCAAAUUCUAAAGAGUCCAUAGCAGAUCAGUAACUGUGCUCAAAGAGUUAGAAAGCAUGACCUAUGAGGAGGCUGGGGAAGAAUUUACUGUAUUCAGUCUUUCUCUUUUGGAAAAAAACCCCACAAAAACAAGAAUAGAGAUGGGAGGGAGGACUUAACCUCUUCACAGCAGGAAACUAUUAUAAAGAAGGCAGGAAAAUUCUUGGUUCUUGUUUGUAGGCUUAAAACAGCAAGAAAUCAACUUUACCUUGAAGAAAAUGUAAGCUUAUAUACUCAGUAUUUCUGAGGACAGUGAAGGAUUUUGCUAAAUUAGGAGUCCUGGAAACUCCUUCACUGAAGGAUUUAGAAGAGUUUAGGUAAAUUUCUCUCAGGAAUUGCCUAUGCUGGUUUAAUCCUCUGGGCUAGAAGAUGUUUUCAGUCGUUCUUGAGUGAAGUUUUACUCUGCCACAAGUCCUGAUUUAUGGUGACUGAGGUUUUGACAAAGCCCCACUGCAAGAGGUCAUCAGUGUGGUUGGUAGAUGUGUUUCGGCUCCAAUCAGUGGAGUAACAGCCUCUCAAGGCUCAAGCAGCCCCACACAUCUCUGCUCAAUGCUAGCAACCACCCAAAUAAUCUUAUGGGAAAGGGGGAAAACCAGCCAGGAGCCCGGUCUACAGGAUCUGACUGAAUGUAUAGUUGCCACAGAACUGAAAAGGCCCACACAAACAGGUCUUGAAUGGUGCCCCAAACAGCCUUGAUUCAUCUCAGCCCUAUUUUUGAAAGAGUGCCUGCAACAUGAAUACUUGAAAACACAGAGCCACUUUACCUCUGUGUCUGAAAAGAAAUAGCAUAAGAGAAGAGAAAUGCAUUCAUUCCUGGAAUAACUUAGCACAGAAUUGAGACUCCUUAAGGCCCGGGCUGACUUCACUCAAGAGGGCAGCAGGCACAGAAGAGAGUGUGUUACAUGAUCUCUCCCAUUCUUCUGGGGUCAGUGCAGGAAGCUACAGUCUGUGCUAGAGAGGAUUCUGCAAUCAUCUUGAAAAGUUUACUCCGCUUGUUGGUGACUCUGACAAGGUCUGGUCAUGGAAAGUAAGACUCCUAUAACUCCCAUUGCCUUUAUCAGGCAUCUGGACUCAUCUGGCAAAACAGAUUUCAGAUCACUUUUGCUAUUGGGAGUGUAACUACCUCCCAAAAUAUGGCUGAGGAGUUAAGUGUCUGGAUGACUGGAUGAACAAGUGCUUAAUUUCUUUCCUGACCUGAGUUCAUAUCUAAUAUGGAGAGUCUGGAAUGGCUUUGACGUCACCCUAAUCCACUGCAGAUGCUUGUUCACCUUGCAUUUGGAGAAUACUUCAUUACAAGUCAUCUGUGUUGAAGAGGCCCUACACACUGAAAAAGAGCAGCUCAAGACAAACAUUGAGGAGAGAAGAGGCACACACACAAAAAACUUCUGGAAGUCUCUUCUUGUUACUGUAUGUAUGCAGUGAGAUAUAGGAAACCCAAACAAUUCCUGGCAUGAGUAAUGUAAGGAAAUUAACUGUUUGAUUUAGCACUGCUGUCUGUCCUCUCAAUCAAUUGCUGUGUCUAGGCUUGCUCAGGACACUGUGUCACAACACUUGUGGCUUCCUAUUCAGACUGUCAAGUACCAAAAUGGCAGGAGAUUUUCUCAAAGGCUAAUGCCUUGUAGAGAGUCAUUGGAUAUAUAUUAACCAUAGCUUCAGCUCUGAGCAAUAAAUAUGGGCAUGUUAUAUACCACCCGCACAGAUGUGUGUGGACCAUGAAAUGAUAAAAUCUUUCCCUACAGUUAAUUAUAACUAAUGUAGAGAUUUAUGCUUCAUCUAGAUGUGUUCUCCAGAUUUUUCUUAAGGGAAAGUAUCUAUGUAUUUAGAAGCAUAGCAUAUAACAACAAAUGUCUGCGACAGACAAGAUACAUUCUUAGAAGGCACUAGUCAUUUGUCUUUUAGUGCUUGCUUUUAGACCAGCUGAGUAUUUGUUAUUAACAUGUUUUCUCAAAAUCUCUUGUAGAAAAAGCAGAAAUCAAGGGGUUUUUGAUGAUUAGCUCGCUUAGAGGAAGUUGGCUUAAUUAUGUCAGUUGUAAUUUACAAAGACUGCCGCAGUUCCAAAAAUGAUUUAUAAAAACUGAAACUUCUUAUACUUGAAGAUACACCUAAAAAAGCAGUGGAAUGGGAGUUCUGUUUCCUGUCCAAUUCUGACAGUGGUUUGGUUUGUACUUUUUUAUUUCCUCUCUAAGCAAUUUCUUCUCUGCCUCUGGGUGUUAUAGUAGUUUUGCAUUCAGGGAGAUCACCUACAGAAGAUCCCUGUUUUUAUCAGAGAAUCCCCCUGCUUGAUGAAUAUCCUGAAUUAUUCCUUGCUUUCUGGUACAUUACACAAAGAGGGAAUACCUGGAAGCUUGCUAUGCUGUAUGGAUUGCACAAUUCCUCAUAUGGUUCAUCUGCUCUGAUUCUCAUGCUGAGGAAGAUAGGAAAUCAUAAACUGACCUGAACACAGACACACACAAGGCACUGGAGCUCACUAUUCCUCUUACUUUUAAGGCUCUCAGACUUCUCUUUUCUAUAUCCCUGCUUCUCAUUUUUCUGUAACUCAACUUUUCCAUUCAAAGCACUAAAGAUUUUCAAUUAUAAAUUAUUUGAGUUGUGCCAGCAUGAAAUAUGAGAAGUUCAAACCAGUUUUGACUAGCCUAAAGUAUUGUACUUAGAAGAGCUGAGAGUACUGCAGGUUGUGAAGUGAAAAAUUAUUCCAUUUUUUUCUGGAACAAUAUUUGUUCUCUGCACUUCAUUCCUCUCUGUUUUGACACCCAAAUGAAACUAACUGAGAAACCUUAAACCCAGAUAUUAGGAAGUUUUCUUACAAUUAAUCACUCUGAAUAAGAAGCAUCUGGUUCUGAGCGUACUAAAUUUAUGGGAGAAAUCAUACAUGAGAUGACAUCUUACAUCAGGGCUUUAUCUUAACAUAAAAAAAUAACUCUUGUAUUUCUUUUGGAACUCUGCUGUCCUCUGUCAGAUAUGAGAAUAAACAAGACAUUAGUUUUAUUUCCCAGUAUAAAAGUCCCUUAAAGCAAUCUACUGGGAAAAGUGGGUCAGGAAACCACUGGCAUUGUCUCAGCCUGAGCUAUUUGGGUUGUAAUCAAUUAAAAAGGACAAAAUUCUAAUUUUAGUAGUGGGUCAAGUAGGCUUGUGAGAACUCAAAAGAGGAUUGAGGUUGCUCAUUCUUAAUAAAACAACUUUUAGCUGUGGUUUGAUUUUUUUUUUCCUAAGCAGCUUAGAUGAUAUGAAUAUUGAUUAGGUCAUAGGUACACAUCUCCCUGCAGAUGAGGAGAUGAUCAAAGGGCAUUGCCUUUGUGCUGCCUCUUUCUGUCUCACAGUACAGCCUGAGAGAGAUGAGUUGCAAGGGCAGUUCCAGCAGGGAGCUUGGCAACUAUGAUGAUGGUAAUGCAUGUUAUCUGCUCCUGCACAGCAGAUUGCACCCAACAAGUCAAUGAGAUGGCUUAUUCCAUUCCCUCAUAAAGGAUCAUAUGCUGGAUUUGACAUGCAUCUGGAAAAAACUUAGGUUCUUCAGGCUGUAUGCAUUGCAGACUCAAGAAAAGGCAAGGCAAAAGCAGUAUCUUUGCACUCGCCCUCUGCGUAAUGGCAACCAUUGUCAACCAGCUGUAGAAAAAUGUCCCCUUACUUAAAUUUUGCUUGCCAGAUCAGACAUUUCUCCUACUUUCCACUUAACACAUCUCUAGCUGUAUUUUGUUGAAUCAGCAAUGUUUCCUGUAUUUAAAAGAAAUUUGUCUAUCCUAUAACAAAACAUUCCUCACUGUUUUUCCUUCUUCUGUUUAGCUGAAAUGUGCAGGCUUGUUCUGCAAGCACGGACUCAGGGAUUUCCGAAAGCUAAAGGUCAGCCUGAAAUCUCACAGCAUACUUACUGUACAAAAGCCAAGCAAGGAAAUGUUCAAAGAGUCUUUGGAGAGCAUUAUCCUAAAAUAUAAACUUAGAGUCAUGGCAAUCCCAUGUGCCUCAUGGUCAGUUUUGUCUUUUUUUUUUUAACAAAGGAUGUUAUUAAUAUGAAUUUUCUCAUAUCCUGAACUCUCAAAAUAAAGCAGAUUUAAGAGAUAGUUUUUGCAGUUAUCCUUUUUUCCACAGAAUGUGGCUAUCGCAUUUUAUGUGACCCUGUAUCGACUGUUUUAAACAGGUUAGACUGUUGUUUUUAUUUAAUGGCAAAGUCAGUUAUUUUUUCCUCAGACUAUAUCUUGCCCUCAAAUACCAUCUUUCAUGAUGUGUUCUUAAGGUAAGCAAAUAUAAAUAUUGAACACGUACUUUAAUGUUCUAUAAUUACAGUGGAUGGUCUUUGCAGUGCUGCCCAUCCUAUGUAAUUCCCUUAUCAGGGAACACACUGGGAUCUCCCUGGUCUCAAAUAGCUGAUUUACCCUGAUGAUAAAGAUAUUUAUUGACAUUUUUGCCUGCUUAUUGCAGCUUAAAGCUGUCAGAGAGAGUUCCUUUAUGAAGUAUAGAAAAAUAUGCAUGGACACCCACAUACAUUUUCAGAUGACUAAUGUUGUUGCUGAAAGGAAAAUGCAUCCAACAAAUCUGCUUGUAAUUGGACCUGACUCAGUGCUGAUUCUUCCAAAUCUGGCUAGAAAAAGAUAUACUAAUUCCAAUCAAAAUUGCUCAUAUUCUGCUGUGAGAGAGUGGGAAUUACUGUUUACUAUCUUUAGUAUUCUCCACAAAAAGAUGAAAUUGUUGUGAAAAUGGUUUCUUCCUAAGCGCACCUCAGUAGUAUGUGGACCAGGGAAAUUGAACAAGGAAAGAAGAUCCUCAGGAAACUGUUGCCUAAUUAUGUCACAAAAAAAAUGGGAUUCAGUUAGUUUGGAAGCCUGGUUCCUUGUGGUGUACUGAAGCUAAAUAGCAGGGGAAUCCAUAAACUGUGUUAAAGAAUGAAGCAAGUUGGAAAACUUUAAAGUCAUUUUGUCCAGAAGUCCUCAUUAGCUCACUAGUGGUUUUGAGGGAUUUUUUUUCCUUAAUCUUUUUUUCUCUCCAGUCAAUUCACAUAUGAAUAGAUAUACAGUAUGGGGGAGAGCUUGCAAUGGCUGCAGUUGGAACAGAGUCCAUGCCUUGUACAGCAGUUUCACAUUCCAUUUAGAGACUAUAAACUCUUCUUUCCAAACUGUUGUUUUAGCUUCAGUCCUGAUGGUUUUCUAUGCUAAACCAACUGCAGUUAGCAUUACUCACUGUGUGUAUUUUCCUCUGUAACUCUGCCCUUCUGCUGCUCAGCAUUGGUGCAAGGUCUUCUGGAAGGGUUAUCUGGAUUUAUAUCCUCAGCAGUGCAAGGGACUGCUGAGCUUCUGCUCCAGCCCAGCCCUUGACUUUCCAUCACUGCUACCCUAAAAGAUAAACUGAUGAUUGGCAACCAGACCAUGCCAGCCCAGCUCUGGGCUGUAGCAAUUGUAUAAAUCCACAGGGAACUCAAGCUCAGCCAGACACCAGGCUCCAGACCAGGCUUCAUUCCAGCUCUCUUUGAUGUAAAGACACUGCCUGAACUCUGUAGAAAGUGAUAUGUGAAUAAGAUGAGAGCAAUAAUUUUUAGUGCUUUACAUCUAUAGUAAACUUUUAAAGUUUAACAAGGCUCAGGCUUUUUAUCUCUUUUUUUUUUCUCUGUGCAAGACUAAGGUUAUUAACUCUUAGCAUUUUAUCAUUGUAUAUUUUUACCUACAUACUAUGGUCUCCUGCUGCUAAAAAUUCCUUCACUCAGCUCUGUUCUUCUCUUUUUCAAUGUUUAUUUUUUAUGUGGAUACAUUCAUUCCCAAGAUAUCUUGUCAUCUCUUUGUGUAUUCAAUGUGAUAUCUUUUUUUUUUAAUUAUUAAACUUAUGUCUCCUAGAAAAAACAAAACAAAAGAAAAGAAACAAAAAAAAAAAGAAACAAUCAUAUCUGCCUGUGUUGUAGUAGAAGGUGGGACAAGAUGAGUGCCAAGUCUCUGAGCACAGGGUCUCCAGGCAGUUAAUUUAUUCUGUUUGAACUAUGUCUACACAAAAAAAAAUUUGCUGGCAUAACUAUUUUUCCACAUCUCCAUUUCUAAACCCUAUGAACAGAUACCUAAACUCAUGGCAAUGGAAACAAUGUAUCUUCAACUGUCUGGCUCCAGGUUUUUAGCUGCAGAAACUUACCCUUUCCAUUGUUGUUGUCAGUAGGACACAGCAUUUCCCCAAUGGCCUGUGUCAGGCUGCUGUGUGCUUUCUAUUCUGUCCUAUUCUUUAGCACGGAGGUUUGACACUUGAAAUCACUUCAGCAGGUUAAAGAUAAAACUCAAGUUAUGAUUCUCUUGCAAAAGGAAAAAAAGAUCCACGUUUUUUAGAUGCUGAGAGGAUUUUUUUUUUUGACCAGUAUAGCAAAUACCACCAGCAUUAAUCUGUAGAGUCUCAUAUGGGCUUUUGAAAACCUCCAGUUUUGUGGCAACAGAAUCCUUACAAAUAAAUUUUUACUCCUGUUGGCUCUAUUUUAUGCUUCAUUUCAGGAUUGUGACUGUGUAACAGUUCUGAGCGCUGUGGUUCAGCCAGCUGUAUCAGCAUUAUUGUGAGCCUAAGCAGAUAGCUGCUGUAUAAAUUAAUGGUGUAUAUUUAUACAGAUUAUGUGCUUGAGCUCGCCAGUGGGUUAUGACUAUUGUUAGUUCACAUCAUGUGCCGCCUCUGGCUGAGAGAGUAGAUAGGAAUCAGUGUUUAUGAGUUAUAGGCUCAGUCCCAAAAGAUCUGAAAAACACAACUUCCAAGCUUUUUUGAGAAACCUUGUCCUUUGUUACAUUAGCACAGCACAAUGCUCCAUGUUUUGUUGGUUGCUUAUUUAUAGCUCCAGAUUAUAAGCACAUAUAUUGUUGUCUGUACAUUUUACAAUUUCUCUAUAUAUAGCUUGUGCAAAGAUGCUUCUUCCAUAAGCAUGACUGACCCUAAUGUUUAAGAAAUCAAAUACUGUGAUGAAUUAGCUUUAUUUUUUACAGAUGUUGAAAGGAGGGAAGUAGAGGUGACACUUGUCCUUCAUUUGAUUAUAAACUCUGAAGUAUGUGGUUUUUAUAGCUUCACAUUUCAAAGUCACAAGCAUGGUUGUGAAAACUUAAAUUUUGCUUUCUCUGGGUAUGUCCAUGUAAGGAGCUUAUAUGCUUGAUAAUUGAAUUAAAAUGAACUAAUACAAAUCUCCUUGCAAAAUUUUGUUAAAAUUGCUCUGUUUCACUUAGUUCCACAUGAAAACUGAAGAAAAAAAAAGCAAUUUUAUGCUUAUUUGAAACUGAGCUAAGCUCCUCCGAGCUUGCUUAUUUGUGAAAAGUUUUGCACUACUCUAUGAAAUGCAGUGCUGAAGUCUGUUAUGGAUAUUUGGCAUUCCUUCAGGUGAUCCCCACAGGAACAUUUGCUUCCUACAGAAAGUGAAACCACAAUUUUAAAAACAGUAUUCAAUUACUUUUCUGUUUUUAAGGUUCUUUUUAUUUUUUUUUUAAUCUGGAAUUUAAUGUUUAGGCAAGAUUAGAAGCUCUGAUGGAAAAUUACUAAGGCUGAAUUACUUUCAGGGGCUCAUAAAGGGUUCCUGUCUCAUAAUUCAAUGAACAGAAGUAUUUCUGUAGCCAGAAUUUGAACUAUUAGAGGAUCAACUGAUUUUCUCAAAGUAUUGUAACUGUAGUGGCUGCUUUAUGCUUAGGAUUUAUUAUAUGAGGAAUUUGCUUUUCGCCUUGGGGAUAAUUAGUACUUCACAAUUUUGAGAAAACAUCAACACACAUAUGGACAGAAGGUAAAUCAGAAAGUCUCUGUUUUGGUGUUUUAUCAAUUAAAUCUUCUGUCUGCAUUUCCUUAUUUAAGGAGAAGUUUUACAACUUUUGAGAGCAGGUGCUCACAAUAAUUUCUGUGGCUUUGCUUAAUAUAUUUAGAGCUGCAAUGUGCUGUAAUUAGUCUACACUGGUUUAGAAAUGGCUUGUUAUUGCAAUGGAUACACUGUGAAUGUCACAAAAGCACAUAACACUAUAUGGUGCUCUCAAAAAAAACCAACCAAUCAGCAUUAGUUUGCUGAACAGAAGCCAGAAACAACAACUAGAUUUUAGAAAUUGGAUACUAUUAUAUUAGAGGAUUACUCACACAAUAUUUCAUAUCUUUUGUACUCACUCUGGGUUCCUCUUGAAUGUGUUGAGCAGUUAUGAUGGAGUUGGGGAUCUGCUGACACUUUAGAAAUGCUUCAUUUAUUUAUCUCUAAAAGUGCUAGGUGGGACCUUUUUUUUCCCUAGGAAGAGGAAAGAUGGAUAAAAAGAUGUAUAUGUGGAUAGGAGCAGUAAAGCUGUCAUUAUUAAUCAAUUUCCACAAGUGUCUGAUUGGAUUGAAACAUCUCCAGUGCAGUUUUAAAAACUUGGAUUGAUACAAGGCCUGUAUGAUCAGAGCAGCUGCUUUAGAAGGAAAGAAAAGGAUGUGGGUAUUCAAAUGGGAAUCACAGCACUAUGAUCGUGAAAGAUCAUACCAACUUGCCAUAAACCCUCUGUGAAAGCCUGAGAGAGAAUUUGACCUCUAAACAACAACAACAAAAAUAGUAAAGAAGGUAGUGAUUGCUCAAAGGGAAAGAGAAUUCAGGAAGGGUGGUCUUUGUUGGAUUUAGGUGCCAUGUGUCACUGUGAUAAUGUGAAUGUGGCCAUAGUUUGGCUUGUGUUGAAAAGCCAGGUAUCACAUUUGUUGAUCUUGUCUUAAAAUGAAACCAUAGCGUUCCUCACAACUCCUCUUCAAGGAUUGUGCAGUUACUGGUGUGGCAGUUGUGUGUUGCCUCCUUUUUUCCCCCUUUUUUAAAAUUUUCAAUUUCCCAAAGCACUUGGUGGUUUUGGUCUUGCAUUCUAUAUUCCUUUCUUUUCCUUCUUGUCUCCCUUCUAGCCAGCUACUUUUGGGAGGGACAGGAAUAGCCACUGACUUGCAGUACAUGAUUUCAUCUUCUUAUAACCCUAGGGAAGAUAAUAGGCAAUUUACUUCUGUAGAAGUAGAGAACAGGAAAUCUUGUCUUAUAGGAAAAGAUGGUUUUGUUCUUGGAUUUAAAAUGAAAAUGACUCUGUUCCUCAUUCAGGAGGAAUGCUUGGGAUUGUAAUAAUUGUUCACGGCUCGAACUGUGAGAGACAGACAAUUUUCAGAAAAUGUGACCAAAAUAAAGAUGAGUUAGGGUAGUCAUAAUGCAGGCUUUUUGUGUGUUUGAGGAAAGUAGGCAAUCCACUAGUGCAGGGUUACAAAGAUGAACUUGUUUCAUGUGGUUUUAAUCAAAGCUGGGAUGCCUGGAAUUAAGGGUCAUCACCCUGCGAGGCACCUUGAGAAGAACUGCUGUUUCAAAUAAGGCCAUUGCUGACAUGAAUGUGCACUGAAAGUUAUGCUUUGUUAGAAACCAGGCAUAACAACCAAACCAAACAAAACCAGAAAGAAAACCCACACAUCAACAGGAUAUCUCAAUUUGUGUUUUACAGUAAUUUAUAGUACAGAAAAGAAGGAAUAUUGUUUCAUUGUCCAUGAAAAUGAGAAAUUUAACUUGUUCAGGCACAUCUAAUAUAUGACACAGUAAUGAUUGCGAGCAGUUCUGAGGCCAAACCACGCUUGAAAAGCUUGGCCAGAUUUGUUUUCUAUUAUAUGCACUUCAGCCUGCUCCCACAACUGGCUGCAGCAUCCUCCUUGCCUCUGCUGGCUGCAGCCACAGCCCUGAGCUUGGGCUCAUCAGUCUGGUUCCACCUGAAUGAAUGAGUGCAAUCGACUCCGGUGCCCUCCAUGGUGCUCCCCAGUACUCCCAGAUCCCAGACUGGGAUACAGGGGCAGACAAGCCUACCUCACACUCAGCCUGACAGACUUCACACAGCACCUGGCUCUGUCAAAUGCCAGAGCCCUUUGCAGAGCCACAGCUCAUCAGGUACCACACACUCCCUCUGGCAAGAGCUCGUUUUUGGUGUCUCAGAGGUGAUGAUGCAUUGCUUUCUAUGCACUCUAAUAGGGAGGAGAUAAAGAUUCAUCACAACUGCAUCUCAGCUGCUGGCAAAAAUUCAGGGUGCAGGAUUUGGAUCAGAAGUUAAAGCUACAGUUGUUUCUGUCAGUGAUGCUGGGUGGUAGCAGUAAUAAUUUUUUUGAAAAAAGAGAUGAAGAUAGCAUUAGAAACCCAUAGCUCCAUGCUUUUGGUCUAGGUUUUGCAUUUGAUUUAAUCUCUUGACAUUAAAACAGAGUUGGACAUAGACAGCUUAAUACAAUGCAGUUUUACCAGGUCAUGGGUACUUGGUUCCCUUGUUGCCUAGCUAUCCUGAGUACAUAUAAACAAAGCAUUCAAGGUAGGCAUAGUUCUGGAUGGGGAAAAGGGCUUAAAUGUUGUUCUGUAAGACUAACUAAGCAGAUGAAAAUAGGUUCUGACACAUUUAUCUUGGGCUUUUCUGGCACAGAACUAGCCUUGUUUUUUGGCCAAAAAUCAUGUCAAAUUCAUGUUAGGAUUGAAAAAAUGAACUCAUCCAAGGAGAAAAAGCUCAAUGAUAAGACUGCAAAAACAUAUGACAGCACUCUGUGUGAUGCUGCACCCAUGGCUACUUGUCCAGUUACUUAGCCAAGAGGAUUGUUGGAUGUCUCCAUGGGGACUGGAGCCAUCUCCCUCUCAGUGGCCACGGGAAGUCUAACAGCACAGCUACCAGUACGGCUUCAUAAAGAAAUUCCAAUGUGCUUUACCCCUUGCAUCCUUCAGAGAUUCAAAAGCAAGUUUGAACAGAGAACUGGAAGCCUGAAAUUUCCAGUUACCUCUCUUGACACAAAAGAUUUAAUGAUGAAGGGCUAUCAUAAAAGGAAGAGGCCAAGCAAUUGGCUAGAUGUGGCCAAAAGGUAGUUGCACGUUUAGGGUCAUUUGAACUUGAAUCUCUAGUGAUGUUAAAUUGAAAAUUUAGAUUUACGUAAUGCAGGGGACAGAGAAAACAGAAGGAAAAUACCAAACACCUUUCCAGUGUUUCUACUUAUUAAGCAAGGGAGCACCAAUGCCCACUGUUGAGGAAUGGGAUAGUGUGGGCCUGACUUGCACUGAGUAGCAUAGUGUUCUUAAAGAAGCCCACAAACCACUGCAGAGAACACCUGGGAUCUCUUGUUUUCCAAAUUUAGCUGCACAAGAGGAACUGCUACUUUUUUUCACCCAAGCUCUGAAUACAAUCCAGUCUUUCCAAGCUUCAUGCUUCAAACAUUUAUGUUGUGUGAGAAUUUGAUACACUGUCUUGAAAUUUACGUACCUUACUAUUUUGUAUACAAAUGUAGCAAGUCAGCAGUACUACCAACUUCUGCCUGAAAGGCUAGCAACAGACUUCCUUUAGGAGCCUAACAGAUCCUUUGCAAUCCUCCUUAUGGACAAGCAGUAAAGCAGCAUUUGUGUCUGUGUUCUCCUACUGCACUUGGAAUGAAGCUUGUUGUCAUUUUGGAUCUGCUUACAGUUACAUUAUCGAACCCAGACAAAGAAAUCUAGACAAAAAAAUUUCCUAAACAGGACAAGAUGGUUGCAUGGCCAAUGCUCUAAAAUUCAGCAUGCAGUAGAUUGCCAGAACGUGAGUAUAUUUUUGUUUUUCCUUCUGCCUGCCAAGCCUAGUUAAAUACCGAAGCAUAAUAGUAAUAGCAUGCUGUAAUGGGAUGUUGCUACUUGCAAGCAUCUAUAGGUGAUUUUUGCUAGGAACUGGCACCUUCUGUAUUUCAUAUCAACACUUUCAAAUACAUGUUUGGCUGAUGGUUGUUGAAUGCAUAACAUGCAAAUUAUUCAAUAUUCAAUUUGUAUACUGUUCUGUUUUGGGACACCCUGUCUAUAGGGCCAUAAAAGUUCUUUUAUGACUGUCCCUGAUGCUGUUUUCAUUUGGGGUUUAUUUUUGGUGUGAGGAGUAGAAGUAAUACUAGGAUUUUUAUAGAAAAGCUUUAACCUUAUUGAAAGACAAAAACCCCCAAAUAAAUUUGGCAUGUCUUCAAAAAUGUUUCAGCUGUGCAGAUGCCUUUUUGUUCUAUAGUCCAAAUAGUUUUCUUAGACCCCCCCCACCUGCUGGUGAAGUAAAUUUGUUCAGCUGCAUAAAUGAGAAAGAAUUUCAUACUGAGUAGGUUUGAAGGCUUGUGAACCAAGUGUAAUCUACUGUCAUCAUCAUUUACAUCUUCUUGUGCACACAGUGUUUGUAGUGAAGCAGUUAAUACAUCUAAGUUACUGUUCUUCCCUGUUUGAUAACCCUCACAAUUCCAGAUUCAACUUUUGUAUUUAUUUGUAUUUAUUUGCAUCAGGGCUUCCCAGUACCUUUACCUGGAAUGGUUUCUUUCAAACCUGCCUGCUGAGUUCCCUUCCUUAAAACCCCUGACAGAUAAAGGAAUAGAAAGUGUCAGGAAAGAUGUGUAUAUCUUGUCAUAUAUGCAUAUAUUUAACAAGAAUUUUAUGCUAUCAUCUCUUUCUUAGCAAAGUUUCAUACCUAUUCGGUGUUUUCUGGUGAGCAGCUCCUCUGAGCACAUCCUUCCUCUCCCACCAGGUAACAGACUGAUCUCCAGUUCCCUUCCUGCUUUAAAGCGUGACCUCUUGACAAACCAACCCACUCUUUUAUAGCUCCUAUUGUUCUUACUAGUUACAGCUGUGGCUUGUUGAAGCUAAGCCUUCUCCUCAUUUUGAUAAUUAGCCCAGCUGCAACUCCUUAGGGGUAAGAUUACUUUAUAUACUAUUUCCAUUCUAUCCCCCCCACAGUAUAUGCCAUUAAACAGGAGGAAGCAUAGUGGAGCUGUGUCCCCUGGUAGAAAUGACCAAGAAGAUGACCCUAACACCCCAGCUGAUGUUAGAUUUGAUAUAGUUGGUGUAUGUGGAAGGAUAUAAAAGAAAAGGACCAGAAAACCAAGAAGAGAGCAGAAGAAAAUAGGACCCAGGUUAGGAGUUAGGUUAGACUAAGCAACACAAGGUGUUUGAAGAAAGCUUUUUAGGCCAAGGUAAUUUAGAAGUGGAUAAUUCAAGGCUGGAAGUUGUGUGUUCAUGUCUCUGUGCAAAAGGAAAUCAGAGGAACACACUAUGGGUGUCAGAGCCCAUGGAGGGAUGAGGGACAGUGAAACAUUAGACGAGGCUCUGACUGCAAAAUGUGUUCAGAACUGAUCCACUUAACAACUCGGAUGUGAUAAAGGCAGGUUUGCAGGUAAGAGCAGUAUUUGGAAACCCAAGUCCUAACUAUUUCCAGAAAAAGCUGUAUCUGACUCGUGAAUUUAGGCCCUGGGCUGUAAUAUGGGACUAUUCUGUAUGGAUUCAUAACUCAUCCCUGCCCCUCAUCCGCUCUUUGUAACUGCUGCAAUAAUUGCUGGGACCAGCUCUUCCAGUGGAGCCCUUCAGCACGUUGCAUUGCCAUUAAUCAGUUCUGCUGACCACAUCAAUAUGAAAGCUAAACUUUAUGUUUCUAAAAUGAGUUUGCUGGAGCAGUCUUGGGCACAAGCUAAGAAUUAGGUCCUGGCAUCCAAAUGCCUCAAAAUAUAUAAGCACAAAAUAUUACAUCCUUCUCACCCACAUUGCAGAAGUUUAAAAUGGGUCAAACUAGGAAAUUUGAAUGAUAUUUCUGUUUUUUUGGUUUGUACUCCAUCUUUAGCUCCAUUAGAGUACACUUUGAUUAAUAGAACCUGUUGUCACCCUUGUUCUGUGCAUCAGGCUAUUUUCCUUCAGAAGCAAUUAUUGCAGUUAUACAACAAGGUUUGAAACUGGCUGUGCUUUCUCUUGCAGUUUUGAUUUUAGAUAUUCUAAGGAGCAUGCUAAAAAUGUUGUUUUAGAGCUGUGGCCAUAUCUUGCAUGUGUACUGUCAAAAAUGGGCUCAAUUGACAUUUAGUAGUUCAGCUCCUGGCAAGAGCUGGAUAUUUGUCAGCACCACUGGUCCACAACCAAAAAAGGUAUUACUUGGAGAAAAAAAAAACUUUCAAAAAUUUAGGUUUCUGCUUCUGAGUGCAAAAAAACAGGCAAAAGAUAUUUUAUAUUGUGAGCAUGGAGAUUUUCCUCCAGCAAAACUACCUGAAAAGUUUUCUUCCAUAAGUGUUGGUUUAAAUUUAGGCCUUCAAAAUACACCACGUUGGAAUUCUGGUGGUGCUGUGUGUAAAUUUGUGUUGCUACGAGCUCAGGCUGCCAACUAAUGCAUAGGAGACCUCAGAAACCAAGACAGUGGAACACUAAGGGGAGUCAGCAACAGGAAAGGGACUCGGGGAAAGGACUUAACUUGCAAGUUGUGUGCUUGACCUCUGUCAGUCAUUUGUUCUGCAGUAGGAAAAAUAUAAACUAAACCAUUGGCCUUUGCAACUUGGAGAAGGCUGCUUUACAGGAACUUGUCAUUUUCAACCUUUGAAGGAAAUGGGAGCUCAAUUGCAAAUUACACAGCAGUUUGAGGUAACAUUUUUAUGGACUAUCACUACACUUUAUUUGGAGUCUUUUUUUCAUAUACAAAAUGUAUGUUGCUUCCCGCCCUAUUAUUUUUGAUAAGAUUGUUUCCUUUAUUUCUCGUCAUUGCCUUGUGUUUAUCUUCAUUAUUCUUUUUUUCUUUUAGGUAGGAAAUAAUAAUUUGAGAAUACCAUCUAAAAGCCAAGGUACUUCUUUAUUCAACACUUGUAAGUAUUUCUGUUGUCUCUGCUGGACAUUGUAUUAUUCCCCUGAAUAUAUGACCUAGCAAUCUCUUGCAGUGUAUGCUCUUCUCAUAGCUACUGCUGUGUAUUACUAGGUUUUUUCACUUUGAUUUUUCACUUAAAAAUAAAUAUCUGCAAAAGCUACCAUCAAGGAAGUCUAAGCAGAAGGGAAAUCCACUCCUGUAUUGCUCAAAGAACCCACUUGUCUCAAUUGCAAGCAGCACUUUCUCACACCCUGUUUCUUCAUAAAUCUCUGGCUUUACUAUGAAGUGCAAUGGCUGUUAUAAAUAAAUACUAGGUGUUUGCUGGCUGAUGAAUACCCAUACCAGUGCCAAAUGAAUGAAAUCUACAGUCCAGGAAAUACUCAGGAUGCUUCCUUUUAAAUCAAGAAAAUUACUCUCAUUAAAUCAAUUAGGUAGCGCUUAGAGGAAAAUUGAUCCAGGAUAUCCGAAGGCAUUAGUAAAGCGUUGGGUUGUUUCUAGUCCAUUAGGGUCAUAUCCUGGCCAGUGGUUUGAUCAGGGUAUUUGGAAAAUCUGGAGCCAUUCCACCAGAGGAACUAUUGCCCUCUCUGCAGGUGUUCAGCAGGAGUCCUCAGCAGAAGGGGGAAGGAAAGGUUUGCUCACAGUCCUGUUCUCUCAUGCUGUUACUGCUGAUUCCCUUUGAUCCACAAACCAAGGCAGCAGCUCCUGAGUCUCCAUGGGGAAAGCAGUGCCUUGCUGUAUCUCUGCUGUGGAUUCUGAAAAAUGACCAUUGUCAGAGAGGCCAAGGUGGGUCCCUGCCAGCCUAAACACAAUCAUAUCCUCAGCACAUUUGCAACUGUGCAAUGUAGUGGCUCAUGUUAGAAAGCAUGAAUAGCUCAAUAUGGUGUAAAGAAAUCUGUAAAGGCUCCAAUUUCUGUGGUUAUAACCCUUUCUGAUUUAGGGAAACUGUUUAUUUUAAUAGUUCACUUGGUUCUACUGAUGCACUCUAAUUGAAUUCAGCUGAAUUAUUUCCCCUCUCUGCUGCCAGCCUUUGCCCUCCUGCAGCGCCCUGGCAACCAGGUCCAGGGUAGGCCUUUACAAGAGGCACAGACUCUCUUCUGCAGUCUGUUGAAAUAUCACUCCCCUCAUUAUCAGGCAGAGCACUAUCCAGACUAUUGUCAAGAAUGAGCCUCCUGUCCCAGCUGGCCUGCCAUUCCCAGCAGCAGGACCUUCCCAAACAGCAACCUCCUAGGCCCCCACAAUGAACAGCACAUUGGCACAGCAGCAAAAACAGUUUCACCCACACCUUUUUUAAAAUAUCAGCUCUAUAAAAUAUGUAUAUUUUUAAAAUCUUAUUAAAAUAUCCAAAUUCUAUAAUUUGUGUGUCCACAAUCUACUGCAGUGCUAAAUUAUGACUUUGCCUGUAGAUCUCCCAUCAUCAAAGGUACCUCAUAAAGCAGUGCAUGUCUAAGCUCUACUGUAAAACCUGGGCUAGACUGUAAAGCACAGAGUCAUUUCUGUGUUUGCAGAAAGAACUGAGGCCUUGUGACACGUCCAUGAACCUUGCUUGGCCAGGACAUUCCCAAAUGGUCCAACAUGAGCAAGCUGGAAGGGGGGGUGAAGAAGGUUUUGAAGCUUUUUUUUUUUUUUAACUUAGCUUGAAGACUACAGGACACUCUAGAUAUGUUCAAAUGCAGUUAGCCUCACGGCAGUUUGAAAUGUUCAGCAUUCUCCUGUAAAAUUCCUAGGAAUGGGAGUCCAGAUACGUCAAUAGUCUUGCCAAAUUACAGUCAUGAUUUUGCUUUCCAAAUGUGAAACUCCCAUUGAAAUCACUUGGUCACUUUCUAUUAACUUCAACCUCAGUUGAACUAAUCUUAGGAGAAACACUUCGGGAAAAGUUUCAUAGUGCUUCAAGCAAGAGAAAAUUAUAAAAAAAUUCCUACUAGCGUUUUGGGAAACUUUUAUAUAAAUGGACAACAUUGGAAAUGAACUUUCAAAUGAAAACCACCUAAUAGUCUGAAAUUUAAGGAAAUGUGGCUUGACUACAAGGGACAAAUUUCUUUAUAUUGUAUAUACACUAAGGAGAAAGAAAAUUAAAAUUGUAUCAAAUUCUCUUCCUAGAUUAGCAAUGUGCAAAUAAGUAGUGCUGAACUUGGAAAAAAAAAUUGCAUUUUUCCAUGUUUUGCAUGGAACACUUGCUAAACAGCCAGUAUCCCUCACCCAGCUACUGCAUGAGCAAGCCUGCACUUUUUGAAUGCAUGUUCCUAAGAUGAACAGAUCACAAACCCUUUUAAAACUUUGCUUUAUGAGACAUAACCCCAGUUUCUCCCCCUGAAAGGCAGGAUACUCAAGUGCUGCAGCACUAAGAGAAGCAGAACUGUUAAGUGGCAUGCUGAAGACAUGAUUUCAUUUAUACAACUAAAAAAAAAAAACUAAGAUGAGGGCUGUAAGGAAAGGAUGCUGAAUCAUAAACAUUAACAGAAGCUUUUCUGUCCUAACUUUACUGUUGUAACCUUUGUGGCAUUGCAGGGAAAGCAAUGCAGGGAGUAAUACAAUAAUAUUUACUUGUAGCAUUUGCAGUCUCUACUGUGCACAGCAUCAAUGUUGUUUUAUUGGAAUAAUGUUAUAGUUUUUAACAGUUUAACCGAUAGUGUUGGUGUUUGGGGGGAAUUUCCAAGUACCUGAAGUACAUGGGCUGCAGCAGUCCCACCAUCUGUGCAUAGCUGAGUAGGAGAUCGUUCCCCAGCUCGAUGGCUGGUUUUGGCAGCCAGUGAUUUGCCUGGUGCAUGCAGGAGCUCACUGCCAGACUAGACCAGACCAGAAUAAAGUAAAUUAAAAUUUUCUCAAGAAAGGGGAUUUCUGUCUUAUCUAUAGAGCUGAAACUAGGGCAGAAUGUUUUAUCUUUCCUGACCUUUUCCCCCUUCCCUUCAGAACAGUACGGUAUUAGGUUGACUUACAGCGUUCUGAAAAACUUCAUAUUUUGCUCUUUCAAACUAUCCUUAUCAUGCCCAAAAGAGAAGAUAAAUUGGUUUGGUUUUAUUAAAAUCCUUUCUGAACUUUUUACACUGUAGCUAUUCUUCCCAAAUGAGUCAUACAAUAACCAUUCCCAGUUUGUAGUCAGUUCUCCAAAGAAGCAGAAGAAAAAAGAAACAACUUCCUUUUAAGGGAAUGAGACCUGUUUGUAAAGAUAAACCUCUUUCUGUUUCUAUUUGAAGACAUUCUCCAUAACCCAAGAAUUGAUAGUUAUAAAAACACUACCUACUUUAUUUGGACUACAAAAACAGUCCUAGCUAUAGAACAUUGUUUAAUGUUAGCCUAAAGCAUCUGUAUAUACACAUAAGGGCAUUGUUGAAACGACACAUGCAACUUGUCAAACGAGCAGCAAGUUUACUAGAAAUCUGUAAGAAACAGCUUGACAUUUGUUUGAUUUCCUUUCAGAUAAUAUUUUAAAAUCAAUUAGUGUAAACAAAGGAGUAUUUAAUAUUUAUGAGGAAUGAAAACAGUGCAAGAGUAUGUAAUUGUAUAAGUAAGCUAACAGCAAUUUCUUUUAAAGUGCUGAAUGGUUCUCAAAGGGAAUCAUGCUGCUUGAAUGCUAGACAAUACAUAUGCUCUUAGGAUUUGGGAAAAUAUCUGCAUGCCAGAAUUUGCUGUGAUAAUCUAUGAACCUCUGAAAGCCACUGUUAUUUUAAUAGCAGCUUUUUUGUGCUACUCAGUUUCUGUCUGUAGAAACUGUAACAGGUAAGUGUCUUCUCUGGGCAUUUUGUUCUCAGACUGUCAGCCUGCCAAGCUUAUUCCAUUAGCCAUGUAACCAGCCAAUACCAGUUUCUCUAGUACCACAUGAAAAAAGGUUAAAACAUUAAAAAUUUGGGAUUACUUCUUACUUGGGUUUUUUUUCUCCCUUGGGGGUGGGGUCACUUUGCAGUCCAGGACAUCCAGAAAUGUAUUCUAAUUUUAAUGGAAGCUGGAACUCAGAUAAUAACCAGAUUCAGGUAGCUGGUACUGUAAGGAAAGUUGCAUUUGUCAGGAGAACCACAGUUUUAAAAAGUUGGGCUACAGGGAUUUUUAAAGAUAUCUGACAUUCUUUUCAAGAUAUUAAUUUUUAAAGUAUAAAAUGUGUGAUUGCAUGGAAAUUAAACUAUUUCACUGGACCUGUUACUUAUAUAGGAAGGUAAGAAUAGAUUUAUAAAUUAGUUAAAGGUUGAAGGGGACAAAAACCUGAUAUUAAUUCAGACACAUAAGCAGAGAUGAAUUGUUAAAUCUGUAUUGCCAUCCAUUUAGCUCUGAACCCCUGACACUAUAGUUUAUUAGAGAGUGGAGACAACAGAAUCCUUUGUAAAAGGGAUUUAUGUUGCCAGAGGAGUUACAGCAGUCUUUUUCUGUGUUGUUAAAAUAAAUUAAUCAAAACCAGCAGGGGGGCGUCCUUGAACUACAAUGGUUGCAUUAUUCAGAAACUGUAGAUUGAACUUUUAAGGAAAUCCAAAAGGCAUGGACCUUGGGAAGGAGCCAGUUGGUGUUGUUUUUAAUGCUGCCAUUUUUGACAAUUCUUAAUAUAAGAAGCUGGAGUAUUGUUUCAAGCAGACCUUUGGCACACAUUUUAAUGAUUUUAUUUUUAUUUUCUUCCUCUGAAUUAUUAUUUUUAUAUAUUAAGACAAACAUAAUGUGGCAUCUCUCAUCCCGGAUAGAUCCCGAAGUACUUUCCUGGUCUUUGUCUAAGAUCUGUGCCAGCUUUCAGACAUUUGCUAAGUCAAGGCUGCAGUUCCACAGACAGAAGGGUGCAGCCCACACAUUCAUGAAAUGCUCCGAUCCUAUAGCAAGACCAGCCAGAUGUGCUCCUUCUGGGAGCUGAAGUAAUGUUUUCCUAGCAAACCUUUCACAGAGGAAAGGGAUGCAGGGUAACUGAUGCCAUUAGAUCAUAGGCAUGAGUUGGAAGUUUCGUUUAAAAUAUCUUUUAGAAGUGAGAUUCCUGCAGAGGGUCAGAACCUCCAGGUACACAUUUCUUGCCAGGAUCACUGAGGGAUGGACUCAGCAGGGAAUGGCCACGUGCUGAACGCACAACGUUGACUUUCUGCAACACUGGUUCUGUCAAAGAGGAAGGGCCUUGAAAAACAUCCCAAUUCGAAGUGCUAUUGUUUAUGUUGAAGCACAGCUUUUAUUUUUAUCAUGGAUGUAAUUUUUAUAAAACCAUAAUGCUAAAUGUGAUGGAUAAAUAUCAUUGAUAUUGCUGAAUGCCUCAAAUUAGUGAAACCUAGGAAAAAAUUCCUACUUGCUUAAUUAGUUUAAAUUAAACCUGAUCUCUUCCAAAACUUUGAAUAAUAUAAAUAAGGAUUAAGAAACGUAUCAGGAAAAUGCCAUGAGACUAAAACAAAAAAUAUUUUCAAAUCUUACUCAGAUGUUAGAAUAAUGAUACUUUAAAAGAAUUUUCUAAAAAUAACAACAAAAGAAACAAGCACAUGCAAAUGCACAGAAUAAUCUUGACUGUAUCAUACAUCUGGAAAAUAUAAGUGCACAUGAAAGAGCUGCUUAUUUUGAGGAUUUAAUUUAAUGACUCGUCCUGCUCAAGAAGAUUAACACGUGGCCAUAAAAAACCUGCUUGCUGUCAGAUUUCACCCCAACAUGGUCAUAGAAAGAUUCCAGAUAGCCCAAGUUGUAUUGCUCUAGGGUAGCAGCAUCCUUUUUCAUUUUGUGUGGCUACUGUUGCUCCAACUUUGCUCCAUGAUGUCCUGCAUAUUUUUCUACUAUUAAAUGAUGCAUCUGACUUGGCUGCAUUGUUUUGGAACCUCCAAGUAACCUUACUAUGUUUAAAUCCUAAACCGUGCCACAUCCUCAUGACUUGAUUUUUAGACUGAAAACUGCAUAGGAAAGCAACAAGUAACUGCAUCUUGUACCAAUUAAAAGGCACCUUUUGUAAGUACUUUUGAAAUGAAGACUCUGGCUGCUACAAAUCCAGAACAGUCAUUUUCCCAAAUGCCAAGGACCAAACUAAAGGAGUAGAGGCCAGGAGGAGCACGUGAAGGCACAGGUAUUAACUGAAAAGAUGUUUAUGUGAAUUGGUUCCAUAAUUUUGUAUUUGUUUGCUGAGCAAGUGCUUCCCAACAAUUCAAAUUACCAUGUACACUAAAAAUUGAUAGGUUGUGUAACUCCUUAUCUUAUGGCACUGAUUUUAGCUUUUUAAGAAACCCUUAGAGUAAGACAUAGUUUUCAGCAUGCUGGUGAUGUAAGGAGUAAUUUUAAAACUGACUGAAGAUCAGGAGUGACCUUUUAAGCAACUGAAUAGGAAUGUGAAUAUGUACAGUGCUCUUUUUCACCUAAAAGAUCAUAAACUGGCUCAGAUUGCCUCAGAAGACUUUGCUGACACCUCUUACUAAUAUAAUUUUGAAAGCAAGCUCCUAUUAUAUGAACUGCUAGUAUCUCCUCAAGUUUCUCUGGGAAGCACACUUUUUAAGGAUUAUGUAGUCUUUAAAAAGAUGUCCGGGGCCAGCACCUCCAUAAAUUAAAUUCAGUGUUAGAAUCAGUGUCCAGUUUCCUUUUCUCAUUAUUAUUUUGCCCUGAAACUUACCUUUUUCUUAUUAUCUUAUGCAGUUAAUUGAAAAAACACAGCAAAAGCAUUUUAAUGUCACUGUGAUGGAGAGGAUUGUACAUUCUUUUAGCAUGGAAGAAACUAGUCAAAACCAGCCAAGUGCAGUUGUGUCAGGAUCUGUAUUUGAAAUACUGCUUUAGGGUGGGACUAAAUAUGUUCAAAUAAUGGAGAAACUAGAGGUACAAAAGGCCUCUUUGAGCCAAGUUAAAUGGCCAAAAAGGAAACCCAGCACAUGAAAAUAUCUGGCCGGAGAGUAUCUUGCCAAUGUAAAAUUGAAGAAAUUCACAAAAGUUCAUGAAAACUUUAAAUUAAACUAAACAGUGCAAUUUUUGCUUUAAGGGACAUACAGGUAUAACAUGAGAUUAUGUGAAUCGCCAUGGGUGAACGCUGCUUUCUGUAGUACUACAGACCUCUAAAAGCAGAGAGGAUUUCAUAACAUAUCCUUUUUUCUCAUAAUGAUCUGAUGGACAGCUAUUAGAAGAAGCUUUUUAGUUUUUAUCAGACAAGAGAGACACUGCGUAGGGCUGAGGCAAUAGGUAACUCUUACAGCUGUCCAUCACCGGGUCUGCAUCUGGCACAUUAGAUCCAGUCACUGAAAUAAAUCAUAUUCCUUGCUCUUGAUGGAACGUACCUGCCCACAAACAUGGAACAAUGAGUAUUUUUCAACCUUUAAAAAAGUAUUUGGGUCUAGAGCAGUAAAAAGUUUUUGGGAAAGAUUUGGUUUGGCUCCCAUUUUAGGUGAGCUCCAUUGCUAUGCCGUUGCCUACAGCAACACCCAGAACACCCAAAAAGAAAGCAUUUCCCAUAAGAGGAAGGGUUCCUUCCCACCCUCUGCAGUUUCAGCUGAUUGUGCUAAAACAUGAUCCUGUUUCUGCCUGUCUAUUUUUAUCCCAGGGCCCAGCAGCUGAUGAACCGUGCCAGGGUUUAAUUCUUCAGCACUGGACGAUGCAAGAAUCCAGAGGCCUGAAUGCAAGUCUGAUUUGAACAGAUGACAAGCAGGACCCUUAGAGCCUUUCCAAAGGGAUGCCACUUAAACUGUUGGAGACACAUCCACAAGGUUCCAAUGAAUCCAAAAUGAUGAAACUGAGACUUGAAAUCUGAGCAUGUUGAUGGACAAGGGCACAAGUCUAAAAUGACCAGGCAGCCAGUUGUCACAUGCCAUUACUAAGCCCAAGGUAAAGCUACAAUUUGGAAAGCAGUAGCAGAAGCCUCCUUGUAAGCAUCCGUUCAUUUUUACUUUUAGGGCACUAAUCUGGAUUUCCUUUGAAGAGCUUAUAGGUCAGAGUCAUGCAACUUGCCUCCCUUAAAUAUUAGAACUAUUUGGUUAGGUUCCUAAAUAUGAAUUACCGAGACUUUCACAGAUACAAACAGUGAGACCAUCAAAUUACUGUUUGGUGCAGGUAACAAAUAUGCUCAGAAUAAUGUACCUCUCUUGGAAAGAUGAUUUAACAGAGUCACAUUGUAGAUGAAUAUAAAUUGAAUCAUCAAUAGGACAACUCCAUUAAAUUACCUGUUGCAAAAGACAUGCUUCUUUAAGGAUAUAACUUUACUGUUAACUCUCGUUGAAUAUUAAUAGGAAAAGUCACAGGACUUUCUUUCAAAUGCUAGUUCAGAAAAUCAGUCAUUAUUUUGUAUAUAUUUUUAAUUAAAAACUGCAAAGAAAUUUUCAAGAAGAAAAACCACAAUGAUACUCAUUUUAAAUAUAUUCUUUCAUGUAUCUCAUGGUAAAACAGAAAGGACAUCAUGCAUUGCUUAGCUUUUAUAUAUCUUGAAUACUUAUCCUUCUAGGGUCACUGCUACACUGAGAUUUCCCAUCUCCUGCUUUGGGAAAGCCAUCCUACAGCACAGCACUGACAUGGUUUAGCGAAGGGAUACACACAACCGCUGUUUUCCUUAGCUUUGGAUUCAUGAUUAAGCUUUUUUUUUUAAAAAAAAUCCAUUUAUUAGAUAAAUUUCUUAGCACAGUGUGUCAUUGGACAUAGCAUUUAAAAUGCUUUAUCUUAUAUUGCGACAGUAUAUAGAAUAUGCAAAUUCUUUUUAACUGAAAAUAAGUUUUCUUGAAUUAUUUGCAACGUUAUUGGACUUCACAAAGGAAGUUGGUGUACAGAGCCAGGGUUUAGAGGAGGAGAAUUGUUAAAUAUAAAUAAAUAUAAAUUCUUAUACCUUUAGAGAAAGUGAGUCAAAUUUAUAUCUUGAAUAAGGGUUUGAAAUAGACAAGCAGAAUGAUACUUUCUCAUACUUCUGAAAAAUCCAUUUGUUGCAAUCUCACACUUAGAAAUUACUGAAAGGUCUUGAAUCUAAUUUAGUGGUAAAAUUAUUUGCUGAUGAAAAUUGCCUGUUUUAUCUGCAAAAGUAUUUGUGAAAAAGUACUGAAAUACUUUUUGGUAAAAAGUUUGUCUUUAUUUCUCCAUUAAAAUUUUGCAUGGUAAUGGAAGACAAUAAUUUAUACUGCAGGCAAAACUCUCAUGGAUUUCAGUGGGAAUGCUACUUGAACACAUGCUUUAGGAGCUAGGCAGAGGGGGGAUGGUUUACAUAUUCUUUAUAAAUGUAAUAAAACUAUUUUAAAAUGCAUAAAACAAACUGGUAAAAGCUGCUUCUGGCAGUGAGCUGCAGUGACUUAUCCCAUCAGCUUUGAAAACAAUAUGUUUCCUUUGUCACAGAGGAAGUAGUGUGAAUUUGGGGGUUUUGUGUCCUGACAUAUUUUAAUGGAUUAUCUCAUUUUCCUCUAUUUCAUAUCCCUCUCCACUUUAGAUCUAUAUCACAAUCACUUCUCCACUCAUGACCAGAACCUGAGUGCCCUUCCCUCUGCUCUAACAAAGGUUAGCAACCCCUCUGGAGCCUUUUCUUUCAUUUUCAGGAAAACAAACUUGUACCUGUGAGUUUUUUCCUAAAAAUACAUAUUAUUAUUUUCCAAAUGUGAGUAUGUUUCCCUGGGGAUUUCCCAUUAGAAAAUACUGUAUGUUAUUGAAUAUACAGUAAUACUGUAUUACUGAAAAUACAUUAAAGUACAACUACCUCAAGUUCCAAACUUUAGUACCCAGACUUAAGAGGCCCGGUCUAGGAUGUGAACAUAAAAAAAAAAAAAAAACAAACAAAAAACCCACCCUUGAAAAGAUCAUUUUUAUCAGGAAAGCUAAGGUUUAGUCAGAAUCUUGUGAUUUUUACUUUUGAUUUUAUGUAAUCAAGGCCACUUGCCUUUUACCGUCGCUCACCAUUUUUUAAGUUCUAGCUACAAGUUUUCACUAGAUGGCAGGAGUCCACUGCCAUCUGUUAUCAGAGGCUUUACUUGCACAGCAGCAGUUGCCCAUUGGUAGGAAAAAAAGUGAACGUGUUCCAGUUUUGCAAAACAUAGAAAAACAAACAAAAAACUUAACAGGAAUGAGAAAAAGUAUUCUGACCUUCAAUAAAUCACAGUUGUGUUACUGCAUAUGGCCAAUAUGAUAGGCUGGAAAUAAGUGAAAAUAAUAGUGAAAGAUGUUCUUUUUCUUGACAGAGGAGCUAAAAGGACCUUCUCCUAUAAAAUGAGGUCGAUUUAUUGUUUCUGCUGUUUGUGAAAAAGUUAACUGAUGCAGUAAAUUAAAGUUAACUGAUAACCAAGUGGAUUGACAGCCUGAGAAAGUUACAGCUUAAAUACUAUACUACUGAUCGAAAUCACCAUAUCAAAGUAAAACAAACACACUCAGUGUACUGCAUUACCAGGAUCCUGGAAGGAGAUAAGGCACAUUUUAAACUCUCUCCCUCGGUUUAACUAGGCAGAGCUCAUGGGAUGAUGAUCAGUCCCCGUACUGUUUCAGCCAGUGGUAUUUUGCUGAGCUCAGAGCUCUGGACAAAAUUUGUCCCUCUUGUCUAAGGGAACAGAAUGCAACUCCAUACAGUUACAUAAGCCUUAAUAACCAUGACAAAUCUUCAUUGCUGCACUGGAGUGAGCACUGAUUUUUAACAAAACUACCUUUGAAAAAUUAUUUCUGCAAGUUGGGGCUACCAGUUCCUAUUUUUAAUUUAUGGUCAACUUCUACUGUCUGUCUUGCCCUCCUUCUAUACGUGCAGAUAAUUUAUAAAGUGUCCAGUAAUUUUCAGCCUUGCUCAUGAAAUAUAAGAGGGGACGUUUGGCAUCUAUUAAAGCUGCUUCUGAGACUGGAUAACUUUCCAAAACCAGAGAUAAGUCAGUGUAAUGCUUUCCAGGACUCCCAAAAUAGUAAGAACAUUUUCUCAUGAAAAAGCUGUAUUUAUUCUAUGACCAGAGCAGAAAAACUAUCAUAAAUAGAUGACUGAAGCAGCAUUUCCUAAUAUGAGAUUGAGUUUUGCGAUGUGCCGAGUGCACUCAAAGCCAGAGAGCGACGCAAACAGGAGCUGAAAGGCACACAUCAUGUCACAAGUGAAACAUUCAGCAUCUAACAAAACCUUUGCAACACUUGCAAGCUACCCAAAAGUAAUAAUCCCUUUUUAUUGAAACCGACAGAAUCAGCGCCUGUAGAAUCUCUGCGAAACCCAUUAGCGUAUUCAAACAAGCAUCACAACAAGAUCCACACUAACCAUUUCCCUGGAAGCAGGAUGGAUUUAAACAAAGCGCUCCUGUCAUCCGUGCCCACAGAACUCCAACAACAUCUUUCUGUCAUGCUCCUACCUUGGCGAUUUGCAAAGGCUGCUUCUGCUCCUUGCCCCCUUGCAGCCUGAAGCCCCACGGCGCCCCUCCGCUCAUAGCAAUGCAGAGAUAAUCCCCUGUGCCCAUUUUCCUGGUGCAGUUGGGCAGCAUUCACAGACAGGA